UUCUGUAAGCCGUUGAAGGUGUGUUGUAAAGCAUGCUGGAGGUAUCAGAAGUGCGAAUGCUGACAUGAGUAACGACAAGGGGGGUGAAAAACCUCCCCGCCGGAAGACCAAGGGUUCCUGUCCAACGUUAAUCGGGGCAGGGUAAGUCGACCCCUAAGGCGAGGCUGAAAAGCGUAGUCGAUGGGAAACGGGUUAAUAUUCCCGUACUUCUUACAAUUGCGAUGGGGGGACGGAGAAGGCUAGGUGGGCCUGGCGACGGUUGUCCAGGUUCAAGUGCGUAGGCUGAGUGUUUAGGUAAAUCCGGAUACUCUUAAGGCUGAGACACGACGUCGAGCUACUACGGUAGUGAAGUCAUUGAUGCCAUGCUUCCAGGAAAAGCCUCUAAGCUUCAGAUUGUAAGGAAUCGUACCCCAAACCGACACAGGUGGUCGGGUAGAGAAUACCAAGGCGCUUGAGAGAACUCGGGUGAAGGAACUAGGCAAAAUGGUACCGUAACUUCGGGAGAAGGUACGCUCUUGAUGGUGAAGUCCCUUGCGGAUGGAGCUGACGAGAGUCGCAGAUACCAGGUGGCUGCAACUGUUUAUUAAAAACACAGCACUGUGCAAAAUCGUAAGAUGACGUAUACGGUGUGACGCCUGCCCGGUGCCGGAAGGUUAAUUGAUGGGGUUAGCGUAAGCGAAGCUCUUGAUCGAAGCCCCGGUAAACGGCGGCCGUAACUAUAACGGUCCUAAGGUAGCGAAAUUCCUUGUCGGGUAAGUUCCGACCUGCACGAAUGGCGUAAUGAUGGCCACGCUGUCUCCACCCGAGACUCAGUGAAAUUGAAAUCGCUGUGAAGAUGCAGUGUACCCGCGGCUAGACGGAAAGACCCCGUGAACCUUUACUACAGCUUGGCACUGAACAUUGAACCUACAUGUGUAGGAUAGGUGGGAGGCUUUGAAGACGUGACGCCAGUUGCGUUGGAGCCGUCCUUGAAAUACCACCCUUGUAUGUUUGAUGUUCUAACGUUGGCCCCUAAUCGGGGUUGCGGACAGUGCCUGGUGGGUAGUUUGACUGGGGCGGUCUCCUCCCAAAGAGUAACGGAGGAGCACGAAGGUGGGCUAAUCACGGUUGGACAUCGUGAGGUUAGUGCAAUGGCAUAAGCCCGCUUAACUGCGAGAAUGACGGUUCGAGCAGGUGCGAAAGCAGGUCAUAGUGAUCCGGUGGUUCUGAAUGGAAGGGCCAUCGCUCAACGGAUAAAAGGUACUCCGGGGAUAACAGGCUGAUACCGCCCAAGAGUUCAUAUCGACGGCGGUGUUUGGCACCUCGAUGUCGGCUCAUCACAUCCUGGGGCUGAAGUCGGUCCCAAGGGUAUGGCUGUUCGCCAUUUAAAGUGGUACGCGAGCUGGGUUUAGAACGUCGUGAGACAGUUCGGUCCCUAUCUGCCGUGGGCGUUGGAAGAUUGAAGGGGGCUGCUCCUAGUACGAGAGGACCGGAGUGGACGAACCUCUGGUGUUCGGGUUGUGUCGCCAGACGCAUUGCCCGGUAGCUAAGUUCGGAAUCGAUAACCGCUGAAAGCAUCUAAGCGGGAAGCGAGCCCUGAGAUGAGUCUU
rnacentral:rRNA from 1 species